ensembl:snRNA U2 U2 spliceosomal RNA
AUUUCUUCUCGGCCUUUUGGCUAAGAUCAAGUGUAGUAUUUAAUACAGAAAAUGCCAAUAGGAAACAAAAUGGAUGUCAACUUCAUGCAUUUUGCCUUAAGCUUUUAAAGAAGGCUUAUUCUGGAUAAUAUGUAAUCUGGAAAUGAAAAACUCCA